rnacentral:snoRNA from 1 species
GCAGUAUUCAUAAUGCGUUGCUAGAUCAAAUGCCCUCCUAGGCGUUACGAUUGUAGCCUGAUCCAAAGCUACAACCGUUUGCAGUGGAGGGCAACA